rnacentral:rRNA from 1 species
CCUACGGGAGGCAGCAGUGGGGAAUUUUGGACAAUGGGCGCAAGCCUGAUCCAGCUAUUCCGCGUGUGGGAUGACGGCCUUCGGGUUGUAAACCACUUUUGUAGAGAACGUAAAGUCUGUUGAUAAUACCGAUAGAUGAUGACGGUACUCUUAGAAUAAGCACCGGCUAACUACGUGCCAGCAGCCGCGGUAAUACGUAGGGUGCGAGCGUUAAUCGGAUUUACUGGGCGUAAAGGGUGUGCAGGCGGUUUUGCAAGAUGGAUGUGAAAGCCCCGGGCUUAACCUGGGAAAGCCAUACAUGACUGCAAGACUAGAGUGCGUCAGAGGGGGGUGGAAUUCCAGGUGUAGCAGUGAAAUGCGUAGAUAUUUGGAAGAACACCGAUGGCGAAGGCAGCCCCCUGGAACGCAACUGACACUCAUACACGAAAGCGUGGGGAGCAAACAGGAUUAGAUACCCUAGUAGUC